GCGGUCAUAAGAGGAACGCUAUUGCGGAGGUGAUACGUGUUGGCCACCACCAGGAACGAAACGAUGGCUAGCUCUCUAUCUCACGCUCGCAACAAAAAUGCAAGGGAUGCACACUAGCUUUUCUUGCCGCCGGCGACGAACGCCGUGGAGCCGAUAGCUCCGGUAUCUCAGCACUUGUAUUUCACUGGACUCGGCCAAAAUGAACAGAGGGGCGCAGGGGCUACAAAUAGACCACGGACUUGCCAGGAGCACUCCUCCACGUCCGGCCUUCCUGCCAUGAUCCGCAUGACAUGCACAACGUCGUCGUGAGCCAUUCGCUCUCCCGGACAACGUGGCCAUCUUCAUGCAGAUCGGCACCCGCGCACACGACCCACUCCGUCCACUAACAAACUAGCGAUUGCUACGUAACUACCUACACACACGCAUGUACACGACAUGCAGCUGAACCUGAACCUAUGGACCUAACCAGACUCAAACAAACUGCAACGCACGCACGCGACCUGACUCAGACGCGCCACCACGAACACACCAUGGCACGGCACACUCGCACGCCACCAUGAACACGCCGUGGCGGGUUUAUUCCUAACAAUCUCCUCCUAAACUCGACACGGCGG
rnacentral:lncRNA from 1 species